rnacentral:rRNA from 1 species
AANUAGCGGAGAAAUGCAUAGAUAUNACGCAGAACACUGAUUGCGAANGCANCUUAUUAUUGACGCUGAGGAACGAAGCGAGGGGAUGAAACAGGAUUAGAUACCCUNNUAGUCCACGCCCUAAACGAUGAAUACUCGUUGGCGAUACGUCAGCGUCUAAGCNAACNCGUNAANUAUUCCACCUGGUGAGUACNCCCGCAAGGUGAAACUCAAGSAAUUGACGGGGCCCGCACAACGGAGAGCAUGUGGUUUAAUCGAUAAUACGCGAGAACCUUACCCRGGCUUGAAAGUAUGAAUGAUCAGAGACGUACAGUCCUUCGGGACAGAACUAGGUGCUGCAUGGCUGUCGUCAGUCGUGCCGUGAGGGUUGGGUUAAUCCCGCAACGAGCCAACCCCUGUGUUUAGUUGCCAGGUAAUGGGGGACUCUAANAGACUGCUAUGCUAGAGAGAGGAGNNACGAGUA